ensembl:lncRNA
AUAGGUUAUAUGAACUUAAGUUUAAUGACAUUUGGUAGCAUUCAAAAAGUACAUUAACAAAUAAGCUUUUAAUGAUUGUGUAAUUUCUGUUCAAAAUUAUUUGUAUAUUUGAUAGUUUAAUGACAUUUGUAAGCAUUAAUUUAUGAUCCGUUAAGCAUUAUAUGUUUGUUAAUGAUUUAUUAAUGAAGCUCUAAAUCAUUAUAGUUUGACAGAUGAUUUACAGAGUACACGAUCAUAUGAACUGAAACUUUAAUGACAUAAUAACAAGUGCAUUAGUAAACAUUAAAAAGCAUAUAUUUCUAGCUAUAACAAACAUUUAUAUAAUGCUUAACAGAUCUUUAGUUAAUGUAUAUUCACAUACAUUAACUAAAGAUCUGUUAAGCAUUAUAUAAAUGUUUGUUAUUGAUUUAUUAAGGAAAGUUAUUAUAAAGUGUUACCAAACUUAUUCAUUAGUUGCUAAUGUGUGUCUGAAAUGAAAACAAUUAUCUCAUUGUUACACACUGUAGGUUUGUGGAUGGUCUGGGAUGCUUAGGGUUGCAUGCUGCAAUGAAGGCAAAUCUGAAACAUAUUCGGUAUCUGUUCCUGGCCAAAGAGGACCCGCUGACUGCCCAGGACCUUAUUGAUGUAUUCAGCCCACACUUUGCAGAGGAGGGAAGCAAUCACAGACGCAGUGAAAUAAGAACAUAUGCCUGGUUCCGUGACUUCUUGCUAGAUGUGGAAGGUGGAGAAAUGCAAGUGGACCAAAGUAAAUGCCUUACUCUGCGAGAGGUUCUUGCCUUUGCUUCUGGGCUGGAGGAGUUGCCCCCACUGGGAUUCAAAAACCAGCCAGUCAUUAAAUUCAUACAUACUGACCGCAAAUUCCCUGAAGCCAACACAUGUGAUGUAGUCCUCCGCCUACCAGUACACAGGAGCUAUGAGGAGUUCAGCAACCACAUGUGCAGUGGGAUUUUGCAGGCCACAGAGUUUGGAAUGGCAUAAAAGUCAUGUUCUUUGUGUUGUUUUGUUUGUUCUAUCAGAUUCUAAUCAAACUGAAGUCAUUCAAAUAAAGAAAUAUUCCCAACCCA